rnacentral:rRNA from 1 species
UACGAAGGGAGCUAGCGUUGUUCGGAAUCACUGGGCGUAAAGCGCACGUAGGCGGAUGUGUCAGUCAGGGGUGAAAUCCCGGAGCUCAACUUCGGAACUGCCUUUGAUACAGCACAUCUGGAGUCCGGAAGAGGUGGGUGGAAUUCCUAGUGUAGAGGUGAAAUUCGUAGAUAUUAGGAAGAACACCGGUGGCGAAGGCGGCCCACUGGUCCGGUACUGACGCUGAGGUGCGAAAGCGUGGGUAGCAAACAGG